GACGAACGCUGGCGGCGUGCCUAAUACAUGCAAGUAGAACGCACAGUUUAUACCGUAGCUUGCUACACCAUAGACUGUGAGUUGCGAACGGGUGAGUAACGCGUAGGUAACCUGCCUGGUAGCUGGGGAUAACUAUUGGAAACGAUAGCUAAUACCGCAUAAUAUUGAUUAUUGCAUGAUAAUUGAUUGAACGAUGCUAUUGCAUCACUACCAGAUGGACCUGCGUUGUAUUAGCUAGUAGGUGAGGUAACGGCUCACCUAGGCGACGAUACAUAGCCGACCUGAGAGGGUGAUCGGCCACACUGGGACUGAGACACGGCCCAGACUCCUACGGGAGGCAGCAGUAGGGAAUCUUCGGCAAUGGACGAAAGUCUGACCGAGCAACGCCGCGUGAGUGAAGAAGGUUGUCGGAUCGUAAAGCUCUGUUGUAAGAGAAGAACGGGUGUGAGAGUGGAAAGUUCACACUGUGACGGUAUCUUACCAGAAAGGGACGGCUAACUACGUG
rnacentral:rRNA from 1 species